AAAGAAUCCCAUAAGAACAACAGUGUUCACCAAACUGUGUCCUCAGCUUCCGCAGACCUCACUCAAGACUCUGUGAUCACAGGACUUGGUAAUGAAGCCUAAUAUCACUGACCACUGGGGAGAAAAGUCUUGGGGACUUUUUUUUUCACAUACAACAUGCUGUGUAUUCAAGUGGCCACAAGUGAAAGGGCCUCUCAGUCCCUGUCUAACUUUGCCUGUGAGCAACAAGGAUGCCCAGUUGCUUUCCACGUGCUAGAUGCCUCUUGGUUCUAGAAUUUACCACAAAAAUACCCACACUGUGUCACCAUGAUGCAAAGUGCACAGGGCCUCGGGGGCCUGGACUUUAUGGAGUCCUGGGUUGAUGUGAAGCUGGAGCUGCUGUCUUCUUACUUGAAAGCACAAUGUCAUCCUUGGAGGGACAUGCUCCCAUAGGGCUGAUGGCCACCUGCAGUGGACACUUUCAUGGACCCUGAUUGGGGAAGUGAGACCAAGUCAGAGUUGAUAGAGAAGCAAAGGAGAGAAGAUCGGUCAGGCACUACAAGCCUGGGAACAUGUUGACAAGCUUGAAUGCACUGUAUCCUGCCUGGCCAUCCUCCCUUUUAUAUCUGAACAUGCAGAAGGGAAGAAACACCCUGGGCUGCAGCUCCAGUGGUUGGAGGGACAGUGCCAGUGACAGUGAUGGAUUGAUGGUGAUCAUAUCAUUUGGACAGCCCUCAUCAGAGUAGGAUGCUCAGGACAGGACUCCUCUCCAGUGCCUGCCAACAUCAGACAGGCAUUGGGUUUCCAAGCAGCAAGUCCAUGUUGCAUUGAAAUGAAGGGGCUCUAAUGAGGAAAUCACUGAUGGAAUGAACUGUGUGCAGGUGUUGUAUGAACUUGUGUACUCUCAGCUACUACUCCAGCAACAUGCCUGCCUGCCUGCCUGCUACCACCAUCUUCACCAUGCUGAUCAUGGAUUCACCUUCUAAAAUUAAUCAGGCCCAGCAAGUAAAUGCUUUCUAAGUUUUCUUG